CGGGGUGCAGCAGGCGCGAAAACUUUGCAAUAAGCGAAAGCUUGACAGGGCUAUCCCGAGUGCCAUCCGCUGAGGAAGGCUUUUACCCAGUCUAGAACGCUGGGGGAAUAAGGAGAGGGCAAGUCUGGUGUCAGCCGCCGCGGUAAUACCAGCUCUCCGAGUGGUGUGGAUGUUUAUUGGGCCUAAAGCAUCCGUAGCUGGCUAGGUCAGUCCCUUGUUAAAUCCACCGAAUUAAUCGUUGGAUUGCGGGGGAUACUGCUUGGCUAGGGGACGAGAGAGGCAGACGGUAUUUUCGGGGUAGGGGUGAAAUCCUAUAAUCCCGGGAAGACCACCAGUGGCGAAGGCUGUCUGCUAGAACGCGCCCGACGGUGAGGGAUGAAAGCUGGGGGAGCGAACCGGAUUAGAUACCCGGGUAGUCCCAGCUGUAAACGAUGCAGACUAGGUGUUUGGACGGCCACGUGCCGUUCUAGUGCCGCAGGGAAGCUGUUAAGUCUGCCGCCUGGGGAGUACGAUCGCAAGAUUGAAACUUAAAGGAAUUGGCGGGGGAGCAC
rnacentral:rRNA from 1 species